rnacentral:rRNA from 1 species
ACGUACACUCCUACGGGAGGCAGCAGUGGGGAAUAUUGCACAAUGGGCGCAAGCCUGAUGCAGCCAUGCCGCGUGUAUGAAGAAGGCCUUCGGGUUGUAAAGUACUUUCAGCGGGGAGGAAGGCGAUAAGGUUAAUAACCUUGUUGAUUGACGUUACCCGCAGAAGAAGCACCGGCUAACUCCGUGCCAGCAGCCGCGGUAAUACGGAGGGUGCAAGCGUUAAUCGGAAUUACUGGGCGUAAAGCGCACGCAGGCGGUCUGUCAAGUCGGAUGUGAAAUCCCCGGGCUCAACCUGGGAACUGCAUUCGAGACUGGCAGGCUAGAGUCUUGUAGAGGGGGGUAGAAUUCCAGGUGUAGCGGUGAAAUGCGUAGAGAUCUGGAGGAAUACCGGUGGCGAAGGCGGCCCCCUGGACAAAGACUGACGCUCAGGUGCGAAAGCGUGGGGAGCAAACAGGAUUAGAUACCCGUGUAGUCCCA